rnacentral:sRNA from 1 species
CGGUGUCGACCAGCUGCGGGCAGAUGAAAUGCACGUGACAGUCGAUGCCGCCCGCGGUGAGGAUCUUUCCGUUGCCCGCCAGCACUUCCGUGGACGGCCCGAUCACCAGUGCCGGGUCAACACCGUCCAUAGUGUCCGGGUUGCCCGCCUUGCCGAUGCCGACGAUGCGCCCGUCCCGGACGCCCACGUCGGCUUUCACCACGCCCCAGUGGUCGAGGAUCACCGCGCCGGUGAUCACCAGGUCCGGCGCGCCCUCGGCACGGGUCGCCAUGCCCUGGCCCAUCGACUCG